rnacentral:rRNA from 1 species
AUGUACAAAGAGAGACGAGGGAAGUUGAUCAGUGAUGCUUGGCAACAUGGAGUAGAUAAUUUUCUAGAUCAUGCAUUCUCAUUGCCCGAUGCUGCCGUAGACGGGGAAUCCCAUUGUCCUUGCAGCAACUGCUUUUGCCGUCAUAAGCGCACAAGGGAUGUCAUGACUAGACACUUGUGUAGCAAUGGAUUCAUGUUAGGAUACGAGAGAUGGACCAGCCAUGGGGAGUCUGAUGUACCUGAAAAUGUAGAGCAUGAUAACGUGGGGGGUGGAGAUAGAAUGAAUGACAUGCUAGUUGAUGCAAUUGUUGCCGAAGGAGUUUCUAAAGGUGACGAGCCAACAAAAGCUGCCAAAAAAUUCUAUGAAAUGUUGAUGGAAGCCGAUAAACCAUUGCAUGAGAAGACCACACAAUCACGUCUAUCCAUUGUAGGAAGGCUAAUGACUAUUAAAACACAACAUAACCUGUCAGAAGCUUGUUACAAUGAGAUGAUGACUCUUAUACAUGACAUUGUUGGGGACGAUGCUGCAAAAGAUCUCCCAGCAAACUUCCAUAGGUCCAAGAAGCUUGUGCAUAGUCUAGCAAUGCCUUACGUCAAAAUUCAUGCAUGCCCCAAUAAUUGUAUGAUUUACUAUAAAGAGAAUGAAAAUAAAGAAAAAUGCACUAUCUGCAAAGAACCUAGAUAUGAUCACGUUCGCACUAUAUGGAAGAAGAAUCCUCGAUAUAAUAACGGAGGAACACGUGUGCAGAAUGAUGGGUGUACCUUAGAUGUAUUUCAGCAUGAAGGAAACCUACAUGGAAGGGCAAUUGCCCGAGAACUAUCACGUGAAGAGUUGAAUGUAGCAAGGUUGUACAUUUUGAUCAACUGCUCUGCUGUUGACAGAUUUCGAGAAGAAUUUGAGGAUGAAAAAUAUGCGAUGCAUCCCAAUUUGACAUCGGAGGGCCUUGAUCAAAUGAUGGCAUCAGAAUUUGUGGAAUGGUUCGAGAUUGCUUGCAAACGAGAUCAUAAUUCUGAUGAGGACUUGUGGAAUUUAGCUAAUGGAUGCAGCUCUAGAGCCUAUUCCUAUAGCUCCUAUGACGUGAAUGGCUUUCGCUUUAGAUCAGAGGUAUCUGAGAAAAAACAUAGAAGGUUGAAAACAGUGAACACAGGAGUUUGUUUGUCUUCCUUCAUCUCAGAGACUCAACAUCUUGAGUACUAUGGUGUCAUUGAGGAAAUAAUCAAAUUGUCCUUCACAGCUGGUAGAAAAAUUGAGAUGGUACUCAUCAAAUGUCGUUGGUUUGAUCCUAUAAAAGGUGUGAAGCCAAAUGCAAAAUUAGGUUUGGUGGAGAUCCAGUGGUCUUCAAGGCUUCGUAAUUUUGAACCAUUUGCCAUGGCUCACCAAGCUACACAAGCUUAUUACUUGAAGUAUGCAUCCUCGAGGAGAGAUCUUCGUGAUUGGAGGGUUGUGUACACGAUUCAGCCAAGCAGCAGCUUGAGUAACCUUGAUGACUGCGCAAAUGACCCAUCUACUACAGAUGAAUAUUUCCAAGAAGUUAGUCAGCUGGGUAGUUUUUCUGUAGAUGUUGGCAAAUUUGUUGAUGAGUCUGCUGAGCCAAGAAAGGAGUCAGAUGAUGUGAUGCUUGAUCCCUCUGAAAUUGAAAUAAUAGAAAAUCAAGACUUUAAUGAUGAGGGAGAAGAAUCUUCACAAGAUGAUUUGGAAGAGAGUACCGAUGAGGAAGAAGAUUUACCACAAGAGGAAGGAGAAGAAGAGACAUAUGAGACCGAAGAUGAGGAUGAUGCGAUAGAGCAUGACUAG